rnacentral:rRNA from 1 species
AGAUCAGAGUGUUGGUCGUGCCUUGGUACGUACUGGCAUUAUUGGUUUCUCCCCUCUGACGAACCAUGAUGUCAUUAAUUUGGUGUCAUGGGGAAUCAGGACUGUUACUUUGAAAAAAUUAGAGUGUUUAAAGCAGGCUCGCGCUUGAAUACAUUAGCAUGGAAUAAUGAAAUAGGACGUUUAAUUCUAUUUUGUUGGUUUCUAGGAUUGACGUAAUGAUUAAUAGGGAUAGUUG